GUGAGGAAUAUUGGACAAUGGGCGGGAGCCUGAUCCAGCCAUGCCGCGUGCAGGAAGACGGCCCUAUGGGUUGUAAACUGCUUUUAUACGGGAAGAAACACUCCCUCGUGAGGGAGCUUGACGGUACCGUAAGAAUAAGGAUCGGCUAACUCCGUGCCAGCAGCCGCGGUAAUACGGAGGAUCCAAGCGUUAUCCGGAAUCAUUGGGUUUAAAGGGUCCGUAGGCGGGACAAUAAGUCAGCGGUGAAAGUCUGUGGCUCAACCAUAGAAUUGCCAUUGAUACUGUUGUUCUUGAGUGUUUAUGAAGUGGUUGGAAUAUGUAGUGUAGCGGUGAAAUGCAUAGAUAUUACAUAGAACACCGAUUGCGAAGGCAGAUCACUAAUAAAAUACUGACGCUGGUGGACGAAAGCGUAGGUAGCGAACAGGAUUAGAUACCCUGGUAGUCUACGCCGUAAACGAUGGUUACUAGCUGUUCGGUCGUAAGACUGAGUGGCUAAGCGAAAGUGAUAAGUAACCCACCUGGGGAGUACGUUCGCAAGAAUGAAACUCAAAGGAAUUGACGGGGGCCCGCACAAGCGGUGGAGCAUGUG
rnacentral:rRNA from 1 species